CACGCCUAACACAUGCAAGUCGAACGAGUGGCGGACGGGUGAGUAACACGUGAGCAACCUGCCUCUGAGAGAGGGAUAGCUUCUGGAAACGGAUGGUAAUACCUCAUAACCAAAGUCGCUCAGAGAUGGUCUCGCGUCUGAUUAGCUAGAUGGUGAGGUAACGGCUCACCAUGGCGACGAUCAGUAGCCGGACUGAGAGGUUGAACGGCCACAUUGGGACUGAGACACGGCCAGACUCCUACGGGAGGCAGCAGUGGGGAAUAUUGCACAAUGGGCGCAAGCCUGAUGCAGCGAUGCCGCGUGGAGGAAGAAGGUUUUCGGAUUGUAAACUCCUGUCUUAAGGGACGAUGACGGUACCUUAGGAGGAAGCUCCGGCUAACUACGUGCCAGCAGCCGCGGUAAUACGUAGGGAGCGAGCGUUGUCCGGAAUUACUGGGUGUAAAGGGAGCGUAGGCGGGAUUGCAAGUCAGAUGUGAAAACUAUGGGCUUAACCCAUAGACUGCAUUUGAAACUGUAGUUCUUGAGUGAAGUAGAGGUAAGCGGAAUUCCUAGUGUAGCGGUGAAAUGCGUAGAUAUUAGGAGGAACAUCGGUGGCGAAGGCGGCUUACUGGGCUUACUGACGCUGAGGCUCGAAAGCGUGGGGAGCAAACAGGAUUAGAUACCCUGGUAGUCCACGCUGUAAAGAUGAUUACUAGGUGUGGGGGCUUCCGUGCCGCAGUUAACACAAUAAGUAAUCCACCUGGGGAGUACGGCCGCAAGGUUGAAACUCAAAGGAAUUGACGGGGGCCCGCACAAGCAGUGGAGUAUGUGGUUUAAUUCGAAGCAACGCGAAAAACCUUACCAGGUCUUGACAUCGACAGGUGGUGCAUGGUUGUCGUCAGCUCGUGUCGUGAGAUGUUGGGUUAAGUCCCGCAGCGAGCGCAACCCUUACCUUUAGUUGCUACAGCACUCUAGAGGGACUGCCGUUGACAAAACGGAGGAAGGUGGGGAUGUCGUCAAAUCAUCAUGCCCCUUAUGACUGGGCUACACACGUACUACAAUGGCAAUCAGAGGGAAGCAAUACAGUGAUGUGGAGCAAAUCCCCAUUGUCCCAGUUCAGAUGUAGGCUCAACUCGCCUACAGAAGUCGGAAUUGCUAGUAAUCGCAGCUCAGCAUGCCGCGGUGAAUACGUUAACGGGCCUUGUACACGGCGCCCGUCACACCAUGGGAGUCGGUAACAACCG
rnacentral:rRNA from 3 species